rnacentral:rRNA from 1 species
AUUGAACGCUAGCGGGAUGCUUUACACAUGCAAGUCGAACGGAGUGGCGGACGGGUGAGUAAUAUCUCGGAACGUGCCCUGUAGCGGGGGAUAACUACUGGAAAGGGUGGCUAAUACCGCAUACCAUUAGAGGGGCCGAUAUGGGAUUAGCUAGUUGGUGGGGUAAAGGCUCACCAAGGCAACGAUCCCUAGCUGGUUUGAGAGGAUGACCAGCCACACUGGGACUGAGACACGGCCCAGACUCCUACGGGAGGCAGCAGUGGGGAAUAUUGCACAAUGGGGGAAACCCUGAUCCAGCCAUGCCGCGUGUAUGAAGAAGGCCUUCGGGUUGUAAAGUACUUUUGGCAGGGAAGCGGUAUCUGCAGAAGAAGCACCGGCUAACUACGUGCCAGCAGCCGCGGUAAUUC